rnacentral:rRNA from 1 species
ACGAAGUCUUCGGACUGAGUGGCGGACGGGUGAGUAACGCGUGAGAAUCUGCCUAGAGGUCGGGGACAACCAUUGGAAACGAUGGCUAAUACCGGAUAUGCCUUACGGGGUGAAAGAUUAAUUGCCUUUAGAAGAGCUCGCGUCUGAUUAGCUAAUUGGUGAGGUAAGAGCUCACCAAGGCAGCGAUCAGUAGCUGGUCUGAGAGGAUGACCAGCCACACUGGAACUGAGACACGGCCCAGACUCCUACGGGAGGCAGCAGUGGGGAAUUUUCCGCAAUGGGCGAAAGCCUGACGGAGCAAGACCGCGUGAGGGAGGAAGGCUCUUGGGUUGUAAACCUCUUUUGUCAGGGAAGAACAAAAUGACGGUACCUGACGAAUCAGCAUCGGCUAACUCCGUGCCAGCAGCCGCGGUAAUACGGAGGAUGCAAGCGUUAUCCGGAAUUAUUGGGCGUAAAGCGUCCGCAGGUGGCUGAUCAAGUCUGCGGUCAAAGACCGGGGCUUAACCCUGGAAAGGCCGUGGAAACUGAUAGAGCUAGAGUACCGUAGGGGUAGAGGGAAUUCCCGGUGUAGCGGUGAAAUGCGUAGAGAUCGGGAAGAACAUCGGUGGCGAAAGCGCUCUACUGGACGGUGACUGACACUCAG